rnacentral:lncRNA from 1 species
CCAAAAGCCCAGUUUCAUCUGGCCAUUUCAAAAUACCAAAAGCCCAGUUCCAUCUGGCCAUUUCAAAUUUUCAUAAGCCCAGCUCGCCUGGCACCCCAAUCUCAAGUUUUUCUCUGUUAUCGACCCUCUGCGCGGCAAUGGUCAAAUUUAAUUUUUGUUCUGUGAGUUUGGCCCUCUGCGAGGCAAUGGUCAAAUCCAGAUUUUAGUUUUCUGUUAUCGACCCUCUGCGCGGCAAUGGUCAAAUUUAAUUUUUGUUCUGUGAGUUUGGCCCUCUGCGAGGCAAUAGUCAAAUCCAGGUUUUAGUUUU